rnacentral:misc_RNA from 1 species
CCCAACUAUCCCUAUUAAUCAUUACGUCGAUCCUAGAAACCAACAAAAUAGGUUCGAUCGUCCUAUUUCGUUAUUCCAUGCUAAUGUAUUCAAGCGCGAGCCUGCUUUAAGCACUCUAAUUUUUUCAAAGUAACAGUCCUGUUUCCCCGCAACAACAAAUUAAUGCCAUCACGGUUCUACAAGAAGGAGGGACCAGUGAGGCCAGUAGGUUGGUCGUGCCACUGGUAUGCACUGGCCCCGAAAUUCAACUACGAGCUUUUUAACUGCAACAACUUUAAUAUACGCUAUUGGAGCUGGAAUUACCGCGGCUGCUGGCACCAGACUUGCCCUCCAA